rnacentral:rRNA from 1 species
GACGUAGGGCGCAAGCGUUGUCCGGAUUUAUUGGGCGUAAAGAGCUCGUAGGCGGCUCGUUGCGUCGGCUGUGAAACCCGCAAGCUCAACUGUGGGCUUGCAGCCGGAUACGGGCGGGCUGGAGUUCGGGUAGGGGAGACGUGGAAUUCCUGGGUGUAGCGGGUAGUGAAAUGCGCAGAUAAUCAGGAGGAACACCGGUGGCGAAGGGCGGG